ensembl:snoRNA
UGGAUCGAUGAUGAUCCCUACCGGCGUAUGAGUCAUCGAUGACGAAUAAUACGUGUCUGUGUCUGGAACGCUGAGGUCCAG